rnacentral:rRNA from 1 species
GAACGCUGGCGGCAGGCUUAACACAUGCAAGUCGAGCGGAAACGAGAAUAGCUUGCUAUUCGGCGUCGAGCGGCGGACGGGUGAGUAAUGCCUGGGAAAUUGCCCUGAUGUGGGGGAUAACCAUUGGAAACGAUGGCUAAUACCGCAUAACGCCUUCGGGCCAAAGAGGGGGACCUUCGGGCCUCUCGCGUCAGGAUAUGCCCAGGUGGGAUAAGCUAGUUGGUGAGGUAAAGGCUCACCAAGGCGACGAUCCCUAGCUGGUCUGAGAGGAUGAUCAGCCACACUGGAACUGAGACACGGUCCAGACUCCUACGGGAGGCAGCAGUGGGGAAUAUUGCACAAUGGGCGCAAGCCUGAUGCAGCCAUGCCGCGUGUAUGAAGAAGGCCUUCGGGUUGUAAAGUACCUUCAGCAGUGAGGAAGGGUGUGAAGUUAAUAGCUUCAUAUCUUGACGUUAGCUGCAGAAGAAGCACCGGCUAACUCCGUGCCAGCAGCCGCGGUAAUACGGAGGGUGCGAGCGUUAAUCGGAAUUACUGGGCGUAAAGC